rnacentral:tRNA from 2 species
UCCCUGGUGGUCUAGUGGCUAGGAUUCGGCGCUUUCACCGCCGCGACACGGGUUCGAUUCCCGGCCAGGGAA